CAGUCCCUCGCAUCGUACAACGGAACCCACUUUGGCGGCCCGAGCUCCUGCGACCACCGUAAACCAACCCACCUGUGCCCUCGGUGAGGUCCUCCAGAUGGACUGGCAGUCUCGGGAAGUAAUGAGUUCCUCAUCCCUGGAAGUGUGAAUCGGGCACUAGACUGGAUGACCCCUUGAUAAGGACAUUGUAGACAAGGGCCAUAUAUCAAGUGAGUGUGAGAACUAGUCCCUUUCAAAGUCCGUUCUAAAUCCUUGAGAUAUUGUAUUUCCAAUCUUGAAUGCUAUGGAUAUCCAGUAAAUUAAGCAAUUUUCCCUGGUGAUUACCAUUUCUAGAGUUGUACUGUCCGGUAUGGUAGCCUGCCAGAAGCCGUGUGUGGCUCUUGAGCUUUUGAGUAUGGCUAUUCCAAGUUGAAAUGUGCUGUAACUGAAAUAUACACCAGGUUUCCAAGAAUUAGUAUGAAAAAGAAUGUUAACUAUCUCAAUAAUGUUUAUAUCGAUUACAUGUUGAAGUGAUAGUAUUUUUGGUAUAUUGGAU
rnacentral:lncRNA from 1 species